UACGUAGGGGGGCAAGCGUUGUCCGGAAUCAUUGGGCGUAAAGAGCGCGUAGGCGGCCCUGUAAGUCCGCUGUGAAAGUCAAGGGCUCAACCCUUGAAUGCCGGUGGAUACUGCAGGGCUAGAGUCCGGAAGAGGCGAGUGGAAUUCCUGGUGUAGCGGUGGAAAUGCGCAGAUAUCAGGAGGAACACCGAUGGCGAAGGCGGGUCCCUGG
rnacentral:rRNA from 1 species